rnacentral:piRNA from 1 species
AGUACUGAGUUGGCCAACAUGG